rnacentral:lncRNA from 1 species
AGGGAAAGUGGGGUGGUGUGAUGGGGCUCCCCUGGGCCAUGCGAUGGGGCUGGAGGCUCCCUUGCUCCCCCCUCAAGGACACCCCCUUCCCCCCCCCCGCAGCUGCGACAGCUCUUCGCCCAUCCGCAAGGAGAAGAAAAAGAAGACUGGAAAGAAACACAGACGCGACAGGUCUGAGUCGGGGUCACGGAAGAAGAGAAGACACAGGUCCCGAAGCCCCAAGAACAAACGGAAAGAGAAAAACAAAGAGCGCAAGAGGUCCCGCAGCGAGUCCCCAGCCUGGCGGUCCCACCGGCGCAGCUCCUGCAGCUCCCACAGCGCCUCGCUCUCCUCCGACGACAGCGGCUCCAAAUCCCCCGGCAGGCU